AAACGAGCUGUCAAACGGGCCACGCGAACUGUAUUCGUUAACUUCCGUUUUCAAUUCGUUCUUUCGUUCUCAGACCGUCUUCGAGACAACAAGGAAAAUGAGAGCUAAGUGGCGUAAGAAGCGUAUGCGUAGGUUGAAGCGUAAGCGCAGGAAGAUGCGUGCACGUUCCAAGUAGACGACUCCAAUCGCCCAUUGAAUGGAACUUUUGACAAACAAUAUGAGGAAGCCGACUGGGCAACAAAUAGCCCGAAGUAAUUUAGAAAACGACUUUUCACACAAGAAAAAAAAUUGUGCAUUUAAAAAUUCACUUUAAGCAUUCAAGUUUGAGAUUGCUUUCAAUAAAUUACUGGUUAACCAUAAAAGUUCCAAAAGAAACGAAA